UCCCUGGUGGCUUAGAGGGUAAAGCCUCUGCCUGCAGUGUGGAAGUCCUGGGUUCAGUCCCUGGCUUGGGAA
rnacentral:tRNA from 1 species